AAAGAUUUUUAACUUUCCUAAUAGUAAAAUUACAAUUAUUACUAAACAGUAAGUUGAAGUAAGUUUUAAAUUAAGAGAAUGCAACUAACACCGAAAGAAAAAUGAAAGUUACUGAAAAUAAAAAACUUUAUUGCAGUACCUACAUACACUUUCUACAUCUAAUUUUGUUUAUUGAUCACAUUCAUUUACUUGAAAAAGUAUCAGGCCUAUGAAUCGUCGUCUGGAAACAGCUAACCACACACCAACCUUCAUUGCGUGUGAUGGUGUUUCUUCAAAAGCCCUAACAGAUGAAACCAGGCUUCAUCAGAAAAGAACGACAAAUCGAGAAUCCCGUUAUCGUCCAUAUCAGCUUGAAACCAACUACAAUACCCAACGCGGCAAGGAAAAUCAGCUGGUUGCAGCUCCUGAACCAACAAAAUCUUGUAUGGAUGCAUAUGUAACUUCUCUUUUACGAUUUUCUGACAUGGGCUGUAUGGUACUCCGGACAGUAAAGAUUUUUGACAAA